rnacentral:rRNA from 1 species
GAUGAACGCUGGCGGCGUGCCUAAUACAUGCAAGUCGAGCGAACAGACGAGGAGCUUGCUCCUCUGACGUUAGCGGCGGACGGGUGAGUAACACGUGGAUAACCUACCUAUAAGACUGGGAUAACUUCGGGAAACCGGAGCUAAUACCGGAUAAUAUAUUGAACCGCAUGGUUCAAUAGUGAAAGACGGUUUUGCUGUCACUUAUAGAUGGAUCCGCGCCGCAUUAGCUAGUUGGUAAGGUAACGGCUUACCAAGGCAACGAUGCGUAGCCGACCUGAGAGGGUGAUCGGCCACACUGGAACUGAGACACGGUCCAGACUCCUACGGGAGGCAGCAGUAGGGAAUCUUCCGCAAUGGGCGAAAGCCUGACGGAGCAACGCCGCGUGAGUGAUGAAGGUCUUCGGAUCGUAAAACUCUGUUAUUAGGGAAGAACAAAUGUGUAAGUAACUAUGCACGUCUUGACGGUACCUAAUCAGAAAGCCACAGCUAACUACGUG